UUCAGUAUUGGAAGUGCCUGGGGAUGUCAAUUCUGGGAGGACAGGGUUAGCCUAGUAUGGGGCUAGCCCGGUGCAGGUUUAGCCCAGUGCCAGGAUUAGCCAGUGUGGUUAGAGCAGAGAGACCACAGACUUUGAAUUUGGGGCGCUCUUUCUGGGUUUGAAAAAAUGAAAAACAAAACCCUCCAAACCCUCACUUCCUCUUGCUUCAGUGCUACUACCAAAAGAGCCUCCAUCUAGAUCAGUGCUGCACGCAUGGAAAAGGUCCAUGAGGAAAACAAGACAGGCUUAUGGUGAAUUUCCAGUUACUUCAGGUAUGGGUCAGUGGGGUGUCAUCUAACAUGACCUGUAAGGGAAAUGGAAUACUUGGCCGAGGAUGAAAACCACAGUCUGAUUGAGCAUAGUUCACAUGCUCUGAUGGGUUAAAGGAUUUACCUGAGGCCAAAUGAACAUUCUCUUGGAUAUUGAAGAUGUCAGGAAAAUGAGAAUAUCUGCUUGACCAGGAGAUCAAUUUAUCACAAAAAACCCUAAAACUGAACAGUGAUGAUGCUCAUUAAAAAAACAAAACUGAAAACUGGUUGGGAGUCAUUUCCUACCCUUAGCAGAUGUUCUGAAAACGUGAGUUUUCCAGUUCUGGUCCUCGGAUAAAGGAGAAGCAAAGAAAGCCCAUCGUCAGUGAACAAGGUUCUAACGUGAAGAGGUGGUGCCUGUAGACGUCCUGCUUGGAGCCCUGGGAUUAGAGGAAGUUGAGACGAGUCAGAGGUCCCCUAGGCCACCCCCACCCUGCCAUCCCUUGAGGCUAAGUGACAUGUCUAAGGUCUCCAGGUAACUGUGGCAGAACUGGGGUUGGGACCUCUGUCAUUCCACUGUAGUGCCCUCCCACACGCACCGGCUGGUAGGGAGCCUUUCCAAAGAGGUACCAUCUGCAGUUCUAUUUGGGAAAGAAUAUGGCUCAUCUAGACCAAAGCAUCCUUAAAAAGCCUAACACAGUGGAGCCAAGCCUAGUGAUAGAGCCUCUUCCCGGCUCUGGUUCCAUACCCCAGCUUCCUUCAGAACUGAGCCAGAAGAGGCCUCAGAGAUCUCUUUGUAGAUGAGCAAAUGAAGGGUGCUUCCUUGGAUGAGGUCACCCCAGGUGGGGCUGGAAUUUGGGCCAGAGGCCUUUUGCCUCUGAGUCCAAUAUUCUUCCUACUUUGAAAGAGGCUUCAUCUGUCAACACAGCCGAAGGGCACUUUUUUUCUUUAAUGAAGUUAUUUAUUUACUUUUAAUUUUCAACAUUCAUUUCCAUAACAUUUAGAGUUACAAAUUUUCUCCCCAUCUUUCCCCUCCCCUACCCCAAAAUGGGAUGUAAAUUGAUAUAGGCUCAACAUAUUCAUUCACAUUAAACCUAUUUUUACAUUC